rfam:Myotis brandtii contig271398, whole genome shotgun sequence.
GGUGGUUCUUGGGUGACACACCCCGGAACCAGAAAGGAGGGAGCCCGAUUCCAGGGUGCGUCACCCAAGAACCGCC